rnacentral:lncRNA from 1 species
UUGAUUUUGGGUAAAGCAUUGCGUACUUUCCUUGCAUCAUGUACCUUUUUAACAGUAGCGAAAUUAUGAAGACCAUAUUUCACUUGGAACUACAUUUAUAAUAUUACUAUUCCACAUACGAUACAUAGUAUGAAAACUCAUACAAUCAGUAUAGAAUAUACUUGUCGUCAUCUUCAGUUCGUCGUUAGGUUAGAAUUGUUUAUGACACACUUACAACUGUUAUCCACUCCUCUUGAUUCAUACCCUUACAUCACAUGUGUUGAAUACAGCUGCACAACGUGAUCCAUAUGUUAUGUGAUUAUUAUGAUGCCACACAAAAACGCCACAUCGUUUACUUUAUAAUAUGAAACCGGUAACCUGUUAUUUGAAGGGGUAUAACCGGAUAGAAGGAAGCACAAAAGUCAGACAAUGAAUUAUGUCAAAAUCAUAGCUACUUCCUUGACUUAUCUCCAAAAUAUGACCAUUUGGCCAAUAAGCCCAA